GAAAUGCGAUAAGUAAUGUGAAUUGCAGAAUUCAGUGAAUCAUCGAAUCUUUGAACGCACAUUGCGCCCGCCAGCACUCUGGCGGGCAUGCCUGUUCGAGCGUCAUUUCAACCCUCAGAACCCCUUGCGGGAUCUGGCGUUGGGGAUUGGCAUCCAGCCAGCCCCGAAAUCUAGCGGCGGUCACUCCGCGACCUCCCCUGUGCAGUAGCGAUACCUCGCAGCGGGACAGCGGUCUGACCACGCCGUAAAACCCCCAACUUCCCAAGGUUGACCUCGAAUCAGGUAGGAAUACCCGCUGAACUUAAGC
rnacentral:misc_RNA from 1 species